GCAUGCAAGUUGAGCGACGUGUUCCCCGCAAGGGGAAUUACGAGCAGCAAACGGGAGAGUAACACCUUGGUAACUCACCUCUGAGACGGGGAUAGCUCGCCGAAAGGCGAAUUAAUACCCGAUAGUAAUGCGGGGGCGCAAGUCAUUCGCAUUUAAAUCCCGCAGCAAUGCGGGACUCGGAGAGAGGCCUAGGCCCUAUCAGCUAGUUGGUGAGGUAAUAGCUCACCAAGGCGACGACGGGUAGAGGGUGUGAGAGCACGACCCUCCUCACUGGGACUGAGACACUGCCCAGACUCCUACGGGAGGCUGCAGUCAAGAAUCUUCCACAAUGGGCGAAAGCCUGAUGGAGCGACGCCGCGUGCAGGAAGAAGCCCUUCGGGGUGUAAACUGCUUUUAUAAGGGACGAAUUCGUGACGGUACCUUAAGAAUAAGAGGUUGCUAACUCUGUGCCAGCCGCCGCGGUAAUACA
rnacentral:rRNA from 1 species